rnacentral:lncRNA from 1 species
UUUCUUGUGGGAUUUGGGGCUGUGGCUUACAUUCUGGCAUCUCAGUUUCUCAGUUGUAUGGCAUGAGACGCUGCUGACGUCCUUUGGCUUCCUGUUCAUGAGGCUGUGCUUGGCAUCCUCGGAUUUAGGCACAGUGUGAAUUUUCUUAGACUUCACCCUCCAGACCUCAUUUUGUUUCAUCAGCCCUUCCCUGCCUAUCAGAAAUUUGGUGUCUCUUUCCUCCCUGUGGAUCCCAGUGCUGAGAAGCCAGCAGCAGUCAAGAGAAGUCACAAGAUUGUUUGUGUGUUGGUGGUGUUUUUAUGAAUGCAGGAAUUACCACAAUUGUAUGAAUAAUUCAUUCAUGAAAAUGAUGCUUGAAAAAGAAAAGUACUCUUCUAUUAUUCUUGG